AGGAGUGGUUAUAAAUGUGGGCAAGUCUCCCCCUAGUGGACGAACGGCAUCACCUUUCCCUCGCAAGCCGGCCUCGUCCGGGUGAAACAAAAAUUCACAAACAUCCGGAAGAGAAGCAGCAAAGGAAGCAGCAAAUGUGUUAUUGUGACAUACAUUUCAGUCUUGAUUUCCAAGGGGUUCUCUUCGGUGGGAAAACACAACUGAGUUGGAGUUUUUACCCACCAUUUGAGAAUUUUUACCCUUCGUGUGCUAGUUAUUCAACAGCUGGAUUUGACUGCCUGCCUCGCCAUGAGGAAGGAGCAUAAACUUCUUGAAGACAGGAGAUAUGACCUUGAAUCUAAUAGAAUCUGACAAAAUAAUGUUUCACGAAGGAAAGGAGAGAAGGUACAAAGGUAUUGAAGGGCACCUAUUUCAUUGAUGAACUUGAACCUGAAAAACUCCAGAGGACCUAAGAAAGGCCCAUCACUCAUUGCUGACACUUUCUCCUGGAGUCAUCUGGAAAUAAUAUGAACUAUAAUCAGCCUGUAAUCACGGCCAACGGCACAGAAAGGUUAGAGCUGGGCUGUGAGAAAAAAUCCAAGGCCCAUUCACAUCUUGGGGACAGGACUCUAGAAACUCAGAAGGGCAAAAGAUGAGAUCCAAGCCUGAAAAUAGAAUAUAUAGCAAGGAUUGUUUCAUAAGAACAUGGCAAAAGCCUGGCUUCUUGAUCUAGACCCGCAAGUGAAAGAACAGAGCUGAAAAAAUACCAGGCUUGGUCCCUACAUCUGAGAUUGGACAGGACCAAAGGAGGGGCUGAGAUCUUCAGCUUUGAAGAUGAGUAGCCAUGUGGGAAGAAAUCAGCUAGGAUCCGAUGCUCCCUGCUGUAUCUUCUGCUGUUUCUCAGCCUUUCCUCUUGCUGCGCCUCAGAUUCUGCCACGAUGGGAGAGGCAUGGCCACACUUUCUGCCAGGACAACAAUUGUCUUCUUGGAGUAAAGGCUGUUAACCUGAGCUUAAAUCCUUCUUUGCCUCCCCUGAAUGAAUACACACAUAAAAAGGGGCUGCAGAGCGCUGUGUGUCUGAAUAGAGGAUCUGUAGGUUUCAUGAGCUUCUCGGAGAGGUCUGUGACUGAAAAGGAGUGAAUAGUAGCUGCUCUAGUCUCUCAAGUCCUCACCGCUCCCCCAAGCCCUCCCAGAGGGAUCUUAUUCCUUUCAGACAUCUACGAGUGACAGUUUUUUUUAUCGACUCCCUGGACAGUCUUCCCUUUUGUCAGACCAGGAACUGCAGACACCAGUGUCUCAGGGAAGAUUCCCCAAGUUGCUGCACAUCCAGUGUUCUGCGAAGAGGAUGCUGGAUGUCUGAAAAGGCAGUCUGCCAGAGAAUCCUAAAGGAGCCUAAAUCAUCACUGACCCAAGAGAAACUCAUGAAACACAGUGCAAACUUGACCCCAAAGUGUUCCUUUGACACAACAGAUAGAAUAGCUCACAGAAAGUUUGGGGUAAUGUGCUGAUAGUCAUUAGGAAUGAAUCAUAAUUCAUUCAUCUUCAAGUCAGCUUUUGAUCUUGACAAAAGGCAAAAGCUACUUACUUCAUUGUAUCUUUAAAUUAUCUGGAGACCUGCUUUUCAAUAGCUGGACAAAAGGGGUGAUGUGUUUGUGUCUUUUUCACCAAAGAAACUCACAUUCCAGAACAAAAGGACAUUGUCAAGAUUCCACUGCUCAGAGACAGAGAAUUUACAGAGUGUUGUUUGAGGUUCUGGGGUUAAUUAAGCACUGAAAUUUAUCAGAGAGUAGCAUGAGAUGGAAACAUUUAUUUUCUGUGGGAUUUAGAUCUAUUCCAGCCUUUAGUAAAUUGCAGAUGUUACCGUAGUGCCCAGGUCCCAAGAGUAAGAAUAAAAGAGAGUAAUCUAAAUGCUACAGCGGAUUCACUUACCCAAAUGAGUAGCUUUUGAAACAGCAUUUGGGUCUCCUCUGGUGUUAGAUGCCCAAAUCAGUAAGGUCACCCUUCCAUCCACCGUCUCCUGAAUAAAAUCUGCUGUGAAGAAGGAAGGUAAAUGUCAGUGGAAAUCAGGAUGAUUCCUAGGGAUUUGAGGAGAAACUGUGUCUCCAAGGACGCUGGUGUGGACAGUUGACAUCUGUGAGAGACACAGCCGGGUGCCUGAUGAAAGCCAUCGUCUCUUCUGUAGUACCACACAGCCAUUUUGCUCUGAGAUGUUAAAGAACACAAAAUUACAUUGUCAAACUUUGUUCAAGCUAAGAAUGAUGAUAGGACACAAUCCAGGCUGCUGAGACAUAAGCAGAAGUUGGGAAAUUUUUUCCAAAAGGUGCAGCUAAUCUGUGCCUUUUGACCUCUGCUCUUCCUCUUCUUUCCUUCUGGAAUGGAAACAAGAUGCUGAAGGUGAAGGAGCUACCUGGCACUGACCAGGAGACAUGCAUGCAGACAAAAUUCACAAUGCUAGGAAAAAGGUACAAAGUGCUAGGGUCCUUGCUAGGGCCACAGAACCACCCUAUCAACCCUGGACUUCUACUUCCAGUCUUUCUUUGUCAUACAAGGCAUUGUCUCCUACUUGCAACCAAAUGCAGUCCCUACAAGAUGCAGUGUCUCUACUGUCAUGAUGCCUUGAGGCUCCAAACCCCCUCUGAAACUUAGAUGCCAAUCAGGAGUGAGAGAGAGAGACAGUGGGAGAGGGAUGGAGAGAUAUGAUGAAACUAUGUUUUUUUCUCUCUCGAUUAUCAAAUUGAAUUAGACAACAUUUCUGGACCUCAGUGAGAGGGAAGCUCAAAAAAACGAGUUAAUUUUUAUUUUAGAAAAAAAAUAAAGGAUUUAUUUUGCACA